rnacentral:rRNA from 1 species
AAUUUGGUGCUUGCACCAGAUGAAACUAGAUACAAGCGAGCGGCGGACGGGUGAGUAACACGUGGGUAACCUGCCCAAGAGACUGGGAUAACACCUGGAAACAGAUGCUAAUACCGGAUAACAACACUAGACGCAUGUCUAGAGUUUAAAAGAUGGUUCUGCUAUCACUCUUGGAUGGACCUGCGGUGCAUUAGCUAGUUGGUAAGGUAACGGCUUACCAAGGCAAUGAUGCAUAGCCGAGUUGAGAGACUGAUCGGCCACAUUGGGACUGAGACACGGCCCAAACUCCUACGGGAGGCAGCAGUAGGGAAUCUUCCACAAUGGACGCAAGUCUGAUGGAGCAACGCCGCGUGAGUGAAGAAGGGUUUCGGCUCGUAAAGCUCUGUUGGUAGUGAAGAAAGAUAGAGGUAGUAACUGGCCUUUAUUUGACGGUAAUUACUUAGAAAGUCACGGCUAACUACGUGCCAGCAGCCGCGGUAAUACGUAGGUGGCAAGCGUUGUCCGGAUUUAUUGGGCGUAAAGCGAGUGCAGGCGGUUCAAUAAGUCUGAUGUGAAAGCCUUCGGCUCAACCGGAGAAUUGCAUCAGAAACUGUUGAACUUGAGUGCAGAAGAGGAGAGUGGAACUCCAUGUGUAGCGGUGGAAUGCGUAGAUAUAUGGAAGAACAC